GCAGAUGUGGUGGAAUGGCAGACACGCUAUCUUGAGGGGGUAGUGAGAAUACUCUCGUGCGGGUUCAAGUCCCGCCAUCUGCACCA
rnacentral:tRNA from 1 species